rnacentral:rRNA from 1 species
AGAUUGAACGCUGGCGGAAUGCUUUACACAUGCAAGUCGAACGGCAGCACGGGGGCAACCCUGGUGGCGAGUGGCGAACGGGUGAGUAACACAUCGGAACGUGCCCAGUCGUGGGGGAUAACUACGCGAAAGCGUAGCUAAUACCGCAUACGAACUCUGGUUGAAAGCGGGGGACUCGCAAGAGCCUCGCGCGAUUGGAGCGGCCGAUGGCAGAUUAGGUAGUUGGUGGGGGUAAAGGCUCACCAAGCCGACGAUCUGUAGCUGGUCUGAGAGGACGACCAGCCACACGUGGGACUGAGACACGGCCCAGACCUCCGUACGGGAGGCAGCAGGUGGGAAUUUUGGACAAUGGACGCAAGUCUGAUCCAGCCAUCCGCGUGCAGGAUCGGAACGGCCCGUCGGGUUACGUAAACGUCGUCGUUUUAGGUAACCGGAAACG